AGUUGAGAUGCAGAACCAUGCUAUCACAAUUUAUGCUGCAAGCUCAUGAAAGCCAAACUUUUCAAAGAUAUCACUGACGAUUCGGCUGGCAAUGAAUGAAAAGGCAGAUGCCCCAAACGCCAUUCCGGUGUAUUCAGCCAUGGUCCUGAGUUUUUGCAUGCGGAAAGCGUAGGCUUUGGCAAAGGAGAGAGAGAUGACGCAGACCAGAGAUGCAGCAAGAACAACCGCAGCUUUGUAGUGUCCCUUGUCGGUUAUUCUGUAAGAGAAGGCGUAGCAGAGAGGAGGUAUCACACCGAAGAAGAAGAAGGAAAGCACAACGACGACGCAGUGGAGCGUGAAGUUCCUUUUGUUUCCCAGCAGUGUUUGGUACGGAUCGUCUACUUCCUCACUCGUCAUAUGAUCAGUGUUAGUACUUUGAGAUCGUGGUUGAUUCGUUUUUAGUCGAAAGAG
rnacentral:lncRNA from 1 species